UCAAUCUGCUAAAGUUUGUUCAUAUCACAAUAAAGUACAACAUAAAAUACAUAUUCUGAUUAAAAUACUAUUAUAAUAUGAAGGCAAUCAAUCCCAUUAAAUUAAUCCUACACUCAACACUUUGCUCAUAUUUGUGCAUUAUUUAUUUACUAUGAAUUUAGAAGUUUGGUAGGCAGCUAAUUAACAAAGAAACUGCAAAUUAACCAAAAUUUUUACUCAUGUCAGAGGUUUCUUCUUACAAAACCAUCUCCACUUUACAACAUACAAGCCAAGCGUUACUUAGCUGAUUAUCCCUUUGCAUGGCACGUCUAGACUUUUUAGUUUCUUCAGUGAUAACAGUAAUGAGUUGGUAUGGAAUCAUGUAAAAAGUUAUCUAAAAAUUUCACUAAAUGGCUCCUACACCUUACAACCCAUGGCAUUAAAGAAUUAUGUUCCAUCAGAUGACCACUUUAUGAGGUGUUUACAGACCACUCAUAUUGUCUUCCUACAUGGAACUGUUAGACUGUCUGAUAAUGAAGUGGUUGGUAUAGAAAUUGCAGAUGUUGUAGUGCACUUCAGUGAUGGGGUGAAGCACAGGAUAUGUUGCACUUAAACCAAAUGCACAUACUGUAGUACCCUUCAGUGAUGAGGUGAAGGACAGGACACGCUGCACUUACACUGAAUGCACAGACUGUAGUACCCUUCAGUGAUGAGGUGAAGCACAGGAUAUGUUGCACUUACACCAAAUGCACAUACUGUAGUACCCUUCAGUGAUGAGGUGAAGGACAGGAUACGCUGCACUUACACCAAAUGCACACACUGUAGUGCACUUCAGUGAUGAGGUGAAGGACAGGAUACGCUGCACUUACACCAAAUGCACAUACUGUAGUACCCUUCAGUGAUGAGGUAAAGGACAGGAAACGCUGCACUUACACCAAAUGCACAUACUGUAGUACCCUUCAGUGAUGAGGUAAAGGACAGGAAACGCUGCACUUACACCAAAUGCACAUACUGUAGUACCCUUCAGUGAUGAGGUGAAGGACAGGAUAAGCUGCACUUACACCAAAUGCACACACUGUAGUGCACUUCAGUGAUGGGGUGAAGGACAGGACAUACUGCACUUACACCAAAUGCACAUACUGUAGUACCCUUCAGUGAUGGGGUGAAGGACAGGAUAUGCUGCACUUACACCAAAUGCACAUACUGUAGUACCCUUCAGUGAUGAGGUGAAGGACAGGAAAUGCUGCACAUACACCAAAUGCACAUACUGUAGUGCACUUCAGUGAUGAGGUGAAGGACAGGACACGCUGCACUUACACCAAAUGCACAUUCUGUAGAACCCUUCACUGAUGAGGUGAAGGACAGGACACGCUGCACUUACACCGAAUGCACAGACUGUAGUACCCUUCAGUGAAGAGGUGAAGGACAGGACACGCUGCACUUACACCAAAUGCACAUACUGUAGUACCCUUCAGUGAUGAGGUGAAGGACAGGAAACGCUGCACUUACACCAAAUGUACAUACUGUAGCAUGCUUCUAGGAUGAGGUGAAAGGCAGGACACGCUGCACUUACACCAAAUACACAUACUGCACUAACCUUCAGUGAUGAGGUGAAGCACAGGACACGCUGCACUUACACCAAAUGCAGAUACUGUAGUGCACUUCAGUGAUGAGAUGAAGAACAGGACAUGCUGCAGUUAUACCAAAUGCACAUACUGUAGUGCACUUCAGUGAUGAGGUGAUUGACAGGACACGCUGUAGUUACACCAAAUGCACAUACUGUAGUGCACUUCAGUGACGAGGUGAAGGACAGGACACGCUGCACUUACACCAAAUGCACAUACUGUAGUACCCUUUAGUGAUGCGGUGAAGGACAGGACACGCUGCACUUACACCAAAUGCACAUACAGUAGUACCCUACAGUGAUGGGGUGAAGGACAGGACACACUGCACUUACACCAAAUGCACAUACUGUAGUACCCUUUAGUGAUGUGGUGAAGGCCAGGACACGCUGCACUUACACCAAAUGCAGAUACUGUAAAGCACUUCAGUGAUGAGGUGAAGGACAGAACACGCUGCACUUGCACCAAAUGCUCAUACUGUAGUACCCUUCAGUGAUGAGGUGAAAGACAGGACAAUCUGCACUUACACCAAAUGCACAUACUGUAGUGCACUUCAGUGAUGAGGUGAAAGACAGAACAAGCUACACUUACACCAAAUGCGCAUACUGUAGUAACCUUCAGUGAUGAGGUGAAGGACAGGACACGCUGCACUUGCACCAAAUGCAAAUACUGUAGAACUUUUUAGUGAUGAGCUGAAGGACAGGAUACUCUGCACUUACACCAAAUGCACAUAAUGUAGUACCCUUCAGUGAUGAGGAGAAGGACAGGAUACGUUGCACUUACACCAAAUGCACAUACUGUAGUACCCUCCAGUGAUGGGGUGAAGGACAGGACACGCUGCACUUACACCAAAUGCACAUACUGUAGUACCCUACAGUGAUGGGGUGAAGGACAGGACACGCUGCACUUACACCAAAUGCACAUACUGUAGUACCCUUCAGUGAUGAGGUGAAGGACAGGACAUGGUGCACUUACACCAAAUGCACAUACAGUAGUACCCUACAGUGAUGGGGUGAAGGACAGGACACACUGCACUUACACCAAAUGCUCAUACUGUAGCACCCUUCAGUGAUGGGGUGAAGGACAGGACACACUGCACUUACACCAAAUGCACAUACUGUAGUACCCUUCAGUGAUGAGGUGAAAGACAGGACAAUCUGCACUUACACCAAAUGCACAUAUUGUAGUGCACUUCAGUGAUGAGGUGAAGGACAGGACACGCUGCACUUACGCCAAAUGCACAUACUGUAGUGCCCUUCAGUGAUGAGGUGAAGGAAAGGAUAUGCUGCACUUACACCAAAUGCACAUACUGUAGUACCCUUCAGUAAUGAAGUGAAGGACAGGAUACGCUGCACUUACACCAAAUGCACAUACUGUAGUACCCUUCAGUGAUGAGGUGAAGGACAGGACAAUCUGCACUUACACCAAAUGCACAUAUUGUAGUGCACUCCAGUGAUGAGGUGAAGGACAGGACACACUGCACUUACACCAAAUGCACAUACUGUAGUACCUGUCAGUGAUGAGGUAAAGGACAGGACACGCUGCACUUACACCAAAUGCACAUACUGUAGUACCCUUCAGUGAUGAGGUGAAGGACAGGAUAUGCUGCACUUACACCAAAUGCACAUACUGUAGUACCCUUCAAUGAUAACGUGAAGGACAGGAUACGCUGCACUUACACCAAAUGCACAUACUGUAAAACCCUUCAGUGAUGGGGUGAAGGAGAGGAAACUCUACAUCAAAUAUAUAUAUAUAUAUUGUACUGCUCUUUAAGGAUGGGGUGAAUGACAGGAAAUGCUACACCUAUAACAAAUUCAGAUACUGUAGUGCUCUUAAAGGAUGGGGUGAAGGACAGGAAAUGCUGCACCACACCAAAUUCAGAUACUGUAGUGCUCUUAAAGAAUGGGGUGAAGGACAGGAAACGCUGCACCACACCAAAUGUACAUAAUGUAGCGUUCUUCUAUCAGUACUGGCAGUCCCCAUCAGACCAUUUGUUACAGAACAAAUUAUAGAAUAAUACUAACCACACUAAAGUAAUAUAGGGACAGCAGAAUUGCAUGGACAUAAUAAAAUGUCACUUUUGGUUUCAGCUUCAAACCACAGUUCCUUUAACUUAGAUUACUGUAUCAGUAUUUUGAUGAAAAUAUAGAUAAUCUUUACUUCAAUUUGCCUCUGACCAGAUAAAGUUUUACAAAGACACAACCUACUGACAUGGAUUACAUUUGUCACUGAAAUAAGAAAUCAGAUUCAAAACAAUGCUGGGGUCUAAGGGCAAGCUGUGAGGAAAAGAAAAUGGGAAGGUUUGGAAUCCACAGUGUUGUGUCUUCCUUCCUAUGCAACAUCUAAGGAGAGAUCUCCAGUAAGAACCAACACCUGCUAGUGGCAUUUAUUCUGAGUCAGCACCAGAAAAUAGGUCAGGUGGACACAAGUGUGAUAGCAACCUAACAGUAUAGCAUCUCACCCACCACAGAUACUAAGCGGGAAGGAGGCCUUCAAGUUGGAUAAAGACUGACUACAGCAUUCACAAAUUAAACUGUCUUGCUCCAGGGUAACAUGGGCACAUGAAGGAUAAAUCUCCCUGAAGAAGAAAGAAUAUUCACAGUGAACUGGGUUAUAUUCAGUUGCAUCAUGGAGUCAGUAACUAUUACUGGAGACAACAUACAACCAGUCUGGUCAAGAAACGCAAGUGCAAACCAAUAACAAAAGCACUCUGCUACAAGUUUAACAGUGACAUCUACACAACUAUAUUAAAUAAAAUGUGCAACUGUAAUUUUUGUACCAAGACUUGUAUGGUAUAAUUUUGUUCAUUUUAGUGUACUUUGUAAAUUUAACAUCUUUUGUUUAUGUCAUUUAUAGUGAUAAUGUCCAAGAGUUGAAAUAAAAGAAACAACUGUACAACAUGAGCAUUAGGUUAUUAAAGUGCAUAAACUGUAGAAUAGAAUACAGCAACAUUAGACUUUAAUUGCUUAAUUCACUUUUGUACAUUUCCUUUCAUAACGUUGAACAGGAGAAAGCUGAAGUGUAUAAAAGUACCAACAUGUCAAGUCCACUUUGCAAAUCCUCAUUUAUAACAUACA